rnacentral:rRNA from 1 species
CACACGACCGUACCGCAAACCGACACUGGUGCGCGAGAUGAGUAUUCUAAGGCGCUUGAGAGAACUCAGGAGAAGGAACUCGGCAAAUUGACACCGUAACUUCGGAAGAAGGUGUGCCUUUAGUAGGUGAAGGGAUUUACUCCUGGAGCCCAAUGAGGUUGCAAAAAAUCGGUGGCUGCGACUGUUUAUUAAAAACACAGCACUCUGCAAACACGAAAGUGGACGUAUAGGGUGUGACGCCUGCCCGGUGCUGGAAGAUUAAAUGAUGGGGUGCAAGCUCUUGAUUGAAGUCCCAGUAAACGGCGGCCGUAACAAUAACGGUCCUAAGGUAGCGAAAUUCCUUGUCGGGUAAGUUCCGACCUGCACGAAUGGCGUAACGAUGGCCACACUGUCUCCUCCUGAGACUCAGCGAAGUUGAAAUGUUUGUGAUGAUGCAAUCUCCCCGCGGAAAGACGGAAAGACCCCAUGAACCUUUACUGUAGCUUUGUAUUGGACUUUGAACAGAUCUGUGUAGGAUAGGUGGGAGGCUUGAAGCAGGGUCGCUAGAUCUUGUGGAGCCAACGUUGAAAUACCACCCUGGUGUGUUUGAGGUUCUAACCUAGGCCCGUAAUCCGGGUUGGGGACAGUGCAUGGUAGGCAGUUUGACUGGGGCGGUCUCCUCCCAAAGUGUAACGGAGGAGUUCGAAGGUACGCUAGUUACGGUCGGACAUCGUGACGAUAGUGCAAUGGCAUAAGCGUGCUUAACUGCGAGACUGACAAGUCGAGCAGAUGCGAAAGCAGGACAUAGUGAUCCGGUGGUUCUGUAUGGAAGGGCCAUCGCUCAACGGAUAAAAGGUACUCUGGGGAUAACAGGCUGAUACCGCCCAAGAGUUCAUAUCGACGGCGGUGUUUGGCACCUCGAUGUCGGCUCAUCUCAUCCUGGGGCUGUAGCCGGUCCCAAGGGUAUGGCUGUUCGCCAUUUAAAGAGGUGCGUGAGCUGGGUUUAAAACGUCGUGAGACAGUUUGGUCCCUAUCUUCCGUGGGCGCUGCAGAUUUGAGGAAGCCUGCUCCUAGUACGAGAGGACCGGAGUGGACGCACCUCUGGUGUAUCGGUUGUCACGCCAGUGGCAUUGCCGAGUAGCUAUGUGCGGAAGAGAUAACCGCUGAAAGCAUCUAAGCGGGAAACUCGUUUCAAGAUGAGAUCUGCCGGGGCCUUGAGCCCCCUGAAGAGUCGUUCAAGACCAGGACGUUGAUAGGUCGGGUGUGGAAGCGCAGUAAUGCGUUAAGCUAACCGAUACUAAUUGCUCGUGCGGCUUGACCCG